rnacentral:rRNA from 1 species
CCUGGUUGAUCCUACCAAUAGUCAUAUGAUUAUCUCAAACAUAAAGCCAAGUAUAUGUAAGUAUGAACUAAUCAAACUAUGAAACUAUGAAUGGCUCAUUAAAUCAAUUGUAGUUUGUUUGAUGGUAUCAACUACUCAGAUAAGCGUAAUAAUUCUAGAGCUAAUACGUGUAACAAACCCUGACUUUUGGAAAUGAUACAUCUAUUAGAUAAAACGUUGACAUGUGCUUUGCCUAUUGCUUUGAUGAUUUAUGAUAACUCAACAAAUCUCACAGUUUUUAUGUCAGUGACACAUCAUUCAAAUUUUUACCCUAUUAAUUUUCGAUGGUAAGAUAAUGACCUACUAUGGUGGUGGUGGGUGAUAGAGAAUUAGGGUUUAAUUUCAGAGAGAAAGCCUGAGAAAUGGCUACCACAUCCAAGGAAGGUAGUAGGCAUCCAAAUUACCCAAUCCUGACAUAAGAAAGUAGUGACAAUAAAUAACAACACUAGGCUAUAUGAACAUGGUAAUUAGAAUGAGUACAAUUUAAAUCCCCUAAUGAGGAUCCAUUAGAGGGCAAGUCUGGUGCCUACAGCCAUGGUAAGUCCUACUCCAGUAGUGUAUAUUUAAGUUGUUGUAGUUAAAAAGCUAGUAGCUAGAACUAGGGUUAAGUUAUCCAGUUUGCCUCAUCGUAAGCAAUGGUCUACUCAUCCUUACUAUCGAUAAUGCACUUUUGGCCUUAACUAGCUAGGUUGUUCCUCCGACACUAUUACCUUUAAGAAAUUAGAAUGCCUAAAGUAAGCCUACGCUUGUAUACAUUAGAAUGGGAUAACAUCAUAGGAUUUUAGUUUUAUUGUGUUAGCCAUCAGGAUCGAAGUAAUAAUUAACAAGAACAGUCAAGGGCAUUCAUAUUUCAUAUUCAGAGGUGAAAUUAUUGGAUAUAUGAAAAAUGAACAACUAUGAAAGUGUUUUCCAAGGAUGUUUUCUUUAAUCAAGAACAAAAGUUAAGGGCUCAAAGAUGAUCAGAUACCAUCCUAGUCUUAACCAUAAAUGAUGUUGACUAGGGAUCGACAGAUGUUACUUUUAGGACUCUGUCAACACCUUAUGAUAAAUUAAAGUUUUUGGGUUCCAAGAGGAGACGGUUGCAAGGCUAAAACUUAAAGAAAUUAAUUGAAAGGCACCACCAAGAGUGUAGCCUGUGACUUAAUUUGACUAAACACAAGGAAACUUACCAAGUCCAGACAUAGUAAGGAUUGACAAACUAAGAGCUAUUUUUUUAUUCUAUGGGUGGCAUUGCAUGACCAUUCUUAGUUGAUGGAGCGAUUUGUCUACUUAAUUCCAUUAACGAAUGAGACUUCAACUUGUAACUAGCUACAUGAGGUGAUCCUUUAUGGCUAGCUUCUUAGAGGGACUAUGGCUACUAGGCUAAGAAAUUUUGAGGUAAUAAUAAGUCUAUGAUACUUUUAGAUGUUGGGUUAUAUUUAAUGAGUCUAUAGCCUUAGCCGAUAGGCUUGAGUAAUCUUUAAAAUUUCAUCAUGAUAGGGAUAGAUCAUUGUAAUUGUUGCUCUUCAAUGAAGAAUUCCUACUAAGCAUGAGUUAUCAGCUCAUGUUAACUAUAUCCUUACCCUUUAUACACACCGCCCGUCGCUCUUACCAAUUGAUGGUUCGAUGAAGUGUUUGAAUCAUCGUGACAUGAAUGGUUCGUUGCCUAUGACAUCAUGAGAAGUCUACUAAACCUUAUCAUUUAGAAGAAGGAAAAGUCAUAACAAUGUUUCCAUAGGUUAACCUGUGGAAG